GAAGUCGGACACAACCAACUGAGCCACCCAGGCAUCCUGGUCAGUAAACUCUGGCGUCCGAGCAAGGUCCACAUUUAUCUCGGCAGAGUCUCCCACCCAGCCCCGUUUUGAAAGUUUUAGAGGCUUUAUUUCAUCAUUGACCCAACUAGUUACUGCAAGGCCUACAAAGGUAAAUGACACGUUUCCUAUUCAAGGUUAAAAGAUAAACAUGGCAUUAAAAUAUAAAAGGCAGAAGAGGGAGAAGCAUUUCAGGGGAUAGGUCAGUAUGAUUGAAGACGGAGAUGUGAUCAGUGGAGGAGAACCAAAUUGCCUAAUAGUAGAAUGUGGACCUCUGCGUAUUGUCGAAACAUACAUUUUUGGAGCUGUCACUCAUCCCUGUCCCUUAUACUGUAACCCAGGUGGGACACUGCCAUGGAAGUCUAGCUGUAGAGCAGGAGUGAUGAAAAGGGAGCACUGGGCUGUUGAACGUCACUGCUCACCUGCCUCCACCGAAGGCUUUCUUUUCCUGGGAAAAAGGCUUUUAUGCCAUGUACUAGUUUCUCUCCUACACCAUCAUGGGAGGGAAGGAACUGUUACUUGUCUUUUUCUUGCUAGGCAUUGCUCUAGUACUAAAUUUGAACUGCCCCUAAAGGAGGAAGAAAAGAAUGCAAUGAAAUGCUUAUUAGCUGGAUAGACAGAAGUAGUCAAUUAUUCAAGAUAUCCCUUGGUUUUAUUUUAACUUAACCCUUGUGAAUACUUCACAAAAAAUACAUAUACAGAAGCAAAUAAAACUAUACAAACUAAAUAUGCAGCAGAUAGAACAAGUAGUCAGAAGUUCAAAGAGGGAGAGCUGUUUAAAAAAAAACAGUUUGGAAAUGAAUACUUUCAACAAAAGCAUUCCAGGUGUUUUAAAACACAAAAUAACUUGAUUAUCUAUAGAAUCGAUGAAUGGGGAACAUGCAUUGAUCAGUACAACGACCAAUAAUAUUUAUUGAAUUCAAACUAUUUACUGUUGUAAACAUUUAACGAAAGCGUCAUGACAUCUAAAUACAGUUUUUGAUGUCAAAUUCCAACAAAAUAAGUGGUAUGUUUAAAAAAUAAAGCUGAUGAUCCAUUCUAUAUAUUUUCUUUCAACAGUUCCAGCAAGAGAAAUAGCACAGUAUUUUAAAAAAGUAUACAGCAAAGAUUGUUUCUGUUAACUCUGGAAACUGUAAAUACAAACAGUCAAUGAACAGUCAAACGGUCAUAUUCUUAAUCAGAAAGAAGUUCCAGAUCAGUCAGCGAUCCAGUUAUCUUCAAUUGUCUGUCAGUUGAUUUCAUAGUUCUUUUUCCAAAA